AUUGAACGCUGGCGGCAGGCCUAACACAUGCAAGUCGAGCGGAUGAAGGGAGCUUGCUCCUGGAUUCAGCGGCGGACGGGUGAGUAAUGCCUAGGAAUCUGCCUGGUAGUGGGGGAUAACGUCCGGAAACGGGCGCUAAUACCGCAUACGUCCUGAGGGAGAAAGUGGGGGAUCUUCGGACCUCACGCUAUCAGAUGAGCCUAGGUCGGAUUAGCUAGUUGGUGGGGUAAAGGCCUACCAAGGCGACGAUCCGUAACUGGUCUGAGAGGAUGAUCAGUCACCCGGAAACUAGACACCGUGCCAAACCCCUACGGGAGGCAGCGGGGGGGAAUAUUGGAAAUGGGGCGAAAGCCUGAUCCACCCAGGCCGGGGGGUUGAAGAAGGUCUUCGGUUUGUAAAGCACUUUAAGUUGGGAGGAAGGGAAGUAAGUUAAAACCUUGCUUUUUUGACGUUACCAAAAAAAAAAGCACCGGCUAACUUCGG
rnacentral:rRNA from 1 species